AAUGACUAUGCAACUUGCAUAAUUGACAUCGUUUUGCCACAAUGGACAGUGAGACAGAAAAUGUAGUUUGGGGAAUAAGAUUCACUGCGGCGCUCACUGCAGUGCCCAUGGGGCAGAAUGGAGAUUGUUGCUUUACUACACUUCUACUUAGGGCACAAUUGUCUGAUUCCUCUUGCCUGGCUUGUCCUGCAUCCAGUACCACACAUCUCCCUGCUCCGAAUGCUGUCAAAACAGGAUGCAUGAAUGAUGUGACCCGAACCCCACUUCGCAGCCCCACACCUCCCUUAGUCCAUUGCUGGUUUGGGAGAAAAGAGACUUGAAGCAGCAGAGCACAGGAAGGUUAAUACAGGAAGUGGUACCUCGGGUUAAGAGAAGAAGAAGAAGAGUUUGGAUUUGAUAUCCCGCUUUAUCACUACCCGAAGGAUUCUCAAAGCGGCUAACAUUCUCCUUUCCCUUCCUCCCCCACAACAAACACUCUGUGAGGUGAGUGGGGCUGAGAGACUUCAAAGAAGUGUGACUAGCUCAAGGUCACCCAGCAGCUGCAUGUGGAGGAGCAGAGACGUGAACCCGGUUCACCAGAUUACGAGUCUGCCGCUCUUAACCACUACACCACACUGGCUCUCAAGUAAGUACUUAAGUACUUAAUUCAUUCUGGAGGUCUGUUCUUAACCUGCAACUGUUCCUAACCUGAAGCACCACUUUAGCUAAUGGGGCCUCCUGCUGCCGCCACGCCGCCGGAGCACGAUUUCUGUUCUCAUCCUGAAGCAAAGUUCUUAACCUGAAGCACUAUUUCUGGGUUAGCAGAGUGUGUAACUUGAAGCGUAUGUAACCCGAGGUACCACUGUAUAAGGCAGGUGAGGAGGGUGUUUCUAUUCUCCAUCCCCACCCAACCACCCUAUCCUACACUUUGUAGGAGUAAAUAGAGUGGACCCUAGGCAAAUGUGUUUGCCCCCCCCCCCCCAUGGCUGGCUCAGCUCUCAGAAGCAUCAGACCCACAGCUUUUGGGUAUGAAAAUCACUGGCCUAGCACAAUGAAUUAAUUGCUGCUACAGUGUAAAUUUCAACAGCAGCAUAUGGCUGCGGAAGGAAUGUUUGCUGCAGUUCGGAGGGGGGACUUUGAGGAGGCUAUAUUUCUGUCUGUAAAAAAAAUAAAAUAGAAUGCCCCCCCCUUUUGAUUUCAGAGUGAAAGAACCAGGAGUUAGCCAAUAUAAAAUUAACGUGAUAUAUCAUGCAGCAGAAGGAUUCAAGCACAUAGUUUAUGGUGAUAAAUGAUUUUCCAUGACAGCAAAAAUAUGACAAUGAAAGGAAGACAAAUGCAUUUCCUGGAUUGACUCAGUAAUUCUGAUUAGGUUGCCUUUCCUGUAAAGGAUUAUGUAGGACAAGCUGACAUGAUCACCUGGAAUUACCUAAUCCAAUAGGCAUUACGUGUGACAGAUAAAACAUCUGUUUAAAGAAAAUAAAGUGCACUUAGCCAUGGGGCUCAGGAUGCUGACCAAAACCAGAUCAAAUAAAAGGCAUAGAGUUUCCCCGGCAAAGACACUGUCGAGAGCUUGCAAACAAUUUACAGUCCAACAAAGCCAUGCCUUUGCCAUCCAUUUCAACUCCUAUUGAUUAGCAAGCUGCAGCUCACUUGACCAAGCUAAUUGUACAACCCACUGAAGGAGGACUGUGAAUGAGAUUUAAAGCGGAGUCACUCCAAGAAGGGGAGGGCUGUAACAAAAGAGACCGUUCCAAAUAAACGCUGGGAAGAAGUAAACGUAAAUUGCUCAGAGGCAGCCCUAGGCAAAGCAGAGCCACAGUUACAAAGCUCUCUCAGAUGCGCACCGUUCAUGUCAUUCGCUGCAGUCCCAAGCAUAUGUCCUAGGAAGGCAAGUCCUGUUGAAUUCAGAGGGACUUAAUUUUCUAAAAUAUAUAUUUUAGUAAAGAUUUCUUAGUUUACAAAAAUACAUGCAUUGUCUCUUUUUUCAAGUUGUGUUUUCUACAGAUCAGUUUCAUUUGUUGUGAGACAUUAAUGUUGCAUACAGUGUUAGGUUAGGAAGAAAAGAAGGGGAAAGAUGGGAAGGGGGGAAUGGUGAAUGUUGUCGAGUGGCAAUAUUCCUCUUCUGCUUAGUGUAUGUGUGGGGUUUUGUGUCAUUGUCACGUGUGGGUUCUCUUAAUAUUCGCUUGUUGUAUUUCCUUGGUGGUGAGAGAGGUUGGGAGUGGUGUAGGGUGUGGUUGGUUGUCUUUGGUUGGCUGUAGUGAGAUUUGUUUUUGUGUGUGAGUGGGGUAUGUGUGUGUGUUUUUUUGGAUCAGGUUAGCCAGAUUGAUUUGUCUGCUGUUGGCGGAUUCUUGUUCUUCUCUUGUUGGGCUGUUAUAUAUGUGAUAAAGGGGAACCAUACCGGGAUGAAGGCGUCUUCUAUUUGGAGGGACUUACUUUUGAGUAGGAUUGGGAGAGAAACUCAAUUACGUUCACAUUUAAAUGUGAACUUAUCAAAUUUUCACUUUCUGAAAUAUUACACAGACCGAAACACAGCCGUCCUUUGAAAUUCACGUUUCUCUGAAUUUUGCAGUGCAGUUCUCCUGCCAAACAAUGUGUACAAAGAGGUAUAUACCAGGAUGAAUGCAUAUAUUAGUGAAAAUAACACAAGGAUGCAUUACAUUCAGGGAAAUGGCUUUGCAAAAAUGUACAUAGGAAGGGAAAUUGCAGACUACAAUGUGC